CUUGGUCAUUUAGAGGAAGUAAAAGUCGUAACAAGGUUUCCGUAGGUGAACCUGCGGAAGGAUCAUUACCAAGAACCAAACAGAAAAGGGCAGCCGAGGGGCCAUCAGGGCUAGUAGCUUUACGUUGUUGAACGUCCUGGUCGGACCCGGAGCCGCCCCCAUCUAAACCCUCUGCGUACCUGUCCCGCCUUGCUUCCCCCGGCCAGCCGCCGGGGGGAGGAACAACAACCAAAACACUUUGUGAGCAAACCGACGUCAGAAUCAUAACAAAACAAAAAAAGUUAAAACUUUCAACAACGGAUCUCUUGGUUCCCACAUCGAUGAAGAACGCAGCGAAAUGCGAUAAGUAAUGUGAAUUGCAGAAUUCAGUGAAUCAUCGAAUCUUUGAACGCACAUUGCGCCCCCUGGUAUUCCGGGGGGCAUGCCUGUUCGAGCGUCAUAAAAACCUCCUCCCCCUUCGGGUUUGAUUACUAUCGUUGGGGGGUUUUGGCCUAAUGGGAUAGCGAUUGGCAAUUAGUUUCCCAAUGUCCUAAAUAGACGUAGACCCGCCUCCAGAUGCGACAGCACCGAGGCCAUCAACCGUGGAGUUAUGGGAUAUAUAGGCUUGCAGUAAAAUGCUCACCUUUCUCCAUACGCCGAUGGCACACCGGUCGCAGUUGCGGGCGUAAAUUGGAGUCCUUUUCAGGACCCUCGUGGCCUAGCAUCCACCAUACACAAUUUGACCUCGGAUCAGGUAGGGAUACCCGCUGAACUUAAGCAUAUCAAUAAGCGGAGGAAAAGAAACCAACAGGGAUUGCCUCAGUAACGGCGAGUGAAGCGGCAAAAGCUCAAAUUUUAAAGCUGGCAUCUUCGGUGUCCGCGUUGUAAUUUUGUGAGGCAUCUCCGGGUAGGGCGCCGGCCUAAGUUCCUUGGAACAGGACGUCACAGAGGGUGAGAAUCCCGUGCUUGGCUGGCUGUCCCCGUCCAUGUGAGGUGUCUUCGACGAGUCGAGUUGUUUGGGAAU
rnacentral:sRNA from 1 species